rnacentral:rRNA from 1 species
AACGAACGCUGGCGGCAGGCCUAAUACAUGCAAGUCGAACGAUCUCUUCGGAGAGAGUGGCGCACGGGUGAGUAACGCGUGGGAAUGUACCCUUGGGUGCGGAACAACAGUUGGAAACGACUGCUAAUACCGCGUAAUGACUCCGGUCCAAAGAUUUAUCGCCCAAGGAUCAGCCCGCGUUAGAUUAGCUAGUUGGUGAGGUAAAAGCUCACCAAGGCGACGAUCUAUAGCUGGUCUGAGAGGAUGAUCAGCCACACUGGUACUGAGACACGGACCAG